rnacentral:rRNA from 1 species
UGGGGAAUUUUGGACAAUGGGCGAAAGCCUGAUCCAGCAAUGCCGCGUGUGUGAAGAAGGCCUUCGGGUUGUAAAGCACUUUUGUCCGGAAAGAAAUCCUUGGCUCUAAUACAGUCGGGGGAUGACGGUACCGGAAGAGUAAGCACCGGCUAACUACGUGCCAGCAGCCGCGGUAAUACGUAGGGUGCAAGCGUUAAUCGGAAUUACUGGGCGUAAAGCGUGCGCAGGCGGUUUGCUAAGACCGAUGUGAAAUCCCCGGGCUCAACCUGGGAACUGCAUUGGUGACUGGCAGGCUAGAGUAUGGCAGAGGGGGGUAGAAUUCCACGUGUAGCAGUGAAAUGCGUAGAGAUGUGGAGGAAUACCGAUGGCGAAGGCAGCCCCCUGGGCCAAUACUGACGCUCAUGCACGAAAGCGUGGGGAGCAAAACAGGAUUAGAUACCCUGGUAGUCCACGCCCUAAAACGAUGUCAACUAGUUGUUGGGGAUUCAUUUCCUUAGUAACGUAGCUAACGCGUGAAGUUGACCG